GCGAUUCCCUCAACCCUCGCCGUAUUUAUAUCGUCUUGAUUCAUUUUAAUAGGCAAACUGCCAAAAGAUAACAGUAUAAAAUCGCAGCUGGAUGAGAGAGCCCAAAGCCCCAAGGCUGUUGCUUUUCAGUGUUUCCACUUGUAGCGAAUUUUUCCAAAUAUGAACUUUAAUUUACAAACUUGAAUUUUGGCGGAGAUUUGACACCUUCAUCCGCCAAAAUUCAACUUGCGAAUACGAACUAUAAUGUUGGGAAUACGAACUAUAAUGUUGGAAAUACGAACUAUAAUGUUGGGAAUACGAACUAUAAUGUUGGGAAUAUGAACUAUAAUGUUGGGAAUACGAACUAUAAUGUCGCGAAUACGAACUAUAAUGUUGCGAAUACGAACUAUAAUGUUGCGAAUACGAACUAUAAUGUUGGGAAUACGAACUAUAAUGUUGCGAAUACGAACUAUAAUGUUGCGAAUACGAACUAUAAUGUUGCAAAUACGAUCUUUAAUUUUGGCGGAAAUAUGACGCCAUAGUUU